UAAACAAUAAAUUAGUCUAGGUACUACAAUAUGUCUACACAUUGCAGUACAUGACCUAAGCAUGCCCAUACUUAAAGUGCAUUACAUGACAACGCAAUGAAAAGUCCAACAGUAGACAACAUUGUUCAUGAAUAAUCCAUAGAACUAGCAAGUAAUCGAGACUACUGAGUGCAACAUGGCCACUUUCCCUUCCUCAGGGUAUCGGGAUUCUCCUCCAUCGCUGCUUUCGCUCGGCGUGCACGCUCAAGCUUCUUCUCCCUCUCCUCCCUAUACGCAACAACACGCCUCCUUUCCUCCUCUUCCUUGUGCUCGUUUUCUGCAGCCUCCUCUCUGCGUCUCUUCUCCAUCAUCUCCUUCUUCUCUGCC
rnacentral:lncRNA from 1 species